AAAAGAGCAUACGCGUGAAUCUUUCUUUCUUUCUUACUAAUUUAAUUUGCUAAAAAAAAAAAAAAUCACUCAGUAAGACGGUUCAUACAAGUUAUUAUUGUUGGAAAUUUGGUUUGUUUUCCUCAAAGUCACUGACUUCAAGUAGUUCAUUUCUGUUUUUUAAAAAAAGGUGUUUGCUAUGUGGGAAAAUCAAUCACUGCCAGGAUUCUCUCAUUUCUGUACUGUUUUAUAGAAUUGAAUUUUAACUUUUCUCACACCAGCAAGUAUUUUACAGGUGCCUUGGAUUAAAACAAAGUCGAUUUUACAAUUUUACUGUAAAUCUUUGU
rnacentral:lncRNA from 1 species